rnacentral:rRNA from 1 species
GAUGAACGCUGGCGGCGUGCCUAAUACAUGCAAGUCGAGCGAACGGACGAGAAGCUUGCUUCUCUGAUGUUAGCGGCGGACGGGUGAGUAACACGUGGAUAACCUACCUAUAAGACUGGGAUAACUUCGGGAAACCGGAGCUAAUACCGGAUAAUAUUUUGAACCGCAUGGUUCAAAAGUGAAAGACGGUCUUGCUGUCACUUAUAGAUUGAUCCGCGCUGCAUUAGCUAGUUGGUAAGGUAACGGCUUACCAAGGCAACGAUGCAUAGCCGACCUGAGAGGGUGACCGGCACCCCUGGACCUGAGACACGGUCCAGACCCCUACGGGAGGCAACAGUAGGGAAUCUUCCGAAAUGGCGGAAAGCCUGCCGGAGAACCGCCGCGUGAGUGAUGAAGGUCUUCGGAUCGUAAAACUCUGUUAUUAGGGAAGACCAUAUGUGUAAGUAACUGUGCACAUCUUGACGGUACCUAAUCAGAAAGCCACGGCUAACUACGUG